rnacentral:lncRNA from 10 species
GGCGUGAGCCACCAUACCCGGCUGACCAGUGGUUUUCAAACUGUUGUCUCCAACACCAGCAGCAUCAGCAUUAUAUGGGAAUUUGUUAGAAAUGCAAAUUAUUGGACACCACUCCAGUUCUACUGAAUCAGAAACUCUGCAGUGGGGCCCAGAAGUUUGCAUUUUAACAAGCUAAUUUUAACAAACAGCAUGAUUCUGAUGCAUGCUAAAGUUUGAAAACCACUGACCUGGAUAGACACACGUAGUAGGGAUGGAUAAAGGUCUCAAAACCAUGCCUCUUGAGUCUAGUUGAAGGACCUGAAGAUGUUCAACCUCAAGCAAAAAAGAUCUGACCAAUCUGAGUAAGGAUCAGAUAAAAGAAGAUGCCAGCUUUGUUCUCUGUCAACCCAGAGAUAGGACCAAGAGUGGAAAACACUGGGCAACAAAAAUAGCAUGAUGGAUUAGAGAAGGUGCUCUAGGCUGCAAGUAACAGACAACUGACCCAAACUGUACUUCAUUGUAAGAGAUGUAUCCAUUGACAACAGGAGUCCAAAGGUAGAGUAGUUCUGUGUCUGGCUAAGCCACCAACUCAACUGUGUCCUCAAAGACCCAGGCUUUUAUCAUCAAUCAUCUCUGCCGUCUUCAGUAGGUCAGCAGCUCUCCUCAUGGGUGCCUAUCAGUGGAAGAAACCCCCAGCCUAACAUGGUCAGACACCAAGAAGCAGAGGAGGAAAGCAUGUCUUCCUUGUGUCUCCUUUUAAAAGUUAAGAAACUUUUUCCACGAGGGACUCCCCCUUCCCUUCAGCAGAUGUCCCCUCAGAUCACAAGAAACCUUUUCCAAGAGGGACUCCCUUUUCCUUCCAGCACAUGUGCCCUCAAAUUUCACCUCAGGUCAUAUAACACUUGUAAGCCAGUCCUUAGAAAAAUGAAAGAAAGAUGAAAAAAGCAAGAAAAAUGAAAUUGUAGGAUUGGCUUAGACCAAGGCUUAUCAACCUCUUCUGUUUAGUGGACCCGUUGGCAGUCUGGUGAAGCCUAUGGAUGGAUGCCUUCUCAUAAUACUGUUUUAACUACAUAAAAUAAAAUGAAAAAUAAAUAAACAAAAUGAUAGAAUUGCAAAGAAAACUAAUUAUAUUGAAUACAGUUUUCAAAAUAUAUUUUUAAAAGUAUGUUACAGGAACAAAUAUGCUUCUUUAUUAGCAUGUUAAAUAAAAUCUAGCAGCUGAUCUAAUAACUAUAAUUUUGAAGCAGCAAUGAGUGUAAACAAUACUGUGAGAUACCUGCAACAAAUGUUUUGUGAUAUGAAAAAAUAUUUCACUUCUUUUGGUGACAAAAUCACAAGUACUGCUAAUGCAACUAUGAUUUGUUCCUUACAUUCAUAAGAGAAGCAAAUGCUAAAUUUCAGUUAAAUGUUAGUGAAAAUAAAGGUGUAGCUUCUUUUCCUUCUCCCCCAUCCAAGUUUGUGAAUCCUAUGCAUUCCAUCCACAGACUCCUUGGUUGAGGUAGUCUGUGGACUGCAUGUUAAGAGCCCCUGGCUUAGACCAAUCAAGAUACACACGCUGAGAGACUAGGCAAGUCUUUUCUGAGACAAGUGGUCUGAAAAGAGUGAAAAAAACCUAAACUAAUGGGACUAAAUCAAGAAGAAAAAAAAAAAAGAGGAGGAGAGGAGGAGAGGAGGAGAAGGAAAAAAAAAGAAUUAGGAUUGGGGAGAGGGUGGGAGAGGCUGGAGGCAAAGUAGGACAUAGCUCCAGGGUCUGCUCUAGGUCGGGUCAGCAAGGGCUGUUUUCAGAAGGAAAAUGCAUCUCAUCCCUGAAGGGAGAGACAUUGUCAAAGGGACUCAGACACCAGAUGGUGCACAUACUAGGAUUCCUGCCAACCCUGGCAUUCUUUCAUUUCCCCCAUUUUAUUUACUUUUGUUUCCCGAUUGGUUCUCUUUAAAUAUUUAUAGAUGUUUCAAGUUACAGAUGUAAUCCUUGCCCUUUACAAAUAGCCUCCUAGGAUGUAUGUAUUUCUUCUAUCCCACUUCUCAGAAAUGACCACAGUGCUCAGCGUGGAGUCUGUCUUUUCCAGUCACUUGUUAUGCACAAGUGAUUUCCAAUACCUCACAAACUUUAGCAUGAAGGAAACUUAUCAUUAAUGGCCAG